CACCGCGGUUAUACGAGAGGCUCAAGCUGAUAGAUACCGGCGUAAAGAGUGGUUAAUAAACAGUAAAACUAAAGCUAAAUACCUUCAAAGCUGUUAUACACAACCGAAGACAAGAGAAACCCCUACGAAAGUGGCUUUAAAACCAUGAACCCACGAAAACUAGGACA
rnacentral:rRNA from 1 species